rnacentral:rRNA from 1 species
UACGUAGGGACCAAGCGUUGUUCGGAUUUACUGGGCGUAAAGGGCGCGUAGGCGGCAAUUCAAGUCAUCUGUGAAAUCUCCGGGCUUAACUCGGAACGGUCAGAUGAUACUGCUUUGCUCGAGUGCGGAAGGGGCAAUCGGAAUUCUUGGUGUAGCGGUGAAAUGCGUAGAUAUCAAGAGGAACACCCGGGGCGAAGGCGGCCCUCUGGCUCGACCCUGACGCUGAGGCGCGAAAGCGUGGGGAGCGAACGGG